AUACGGAGGAUCCGAGCGUUAUCCGGAUUUAUUAGGUUUAAAGGGUGCGCAGGCGGAACUGUAAGUCACCGGUGAAAUCCUACAGCUUAACUGUAGAACUGCCGGUGAUACUGCGAUUCUUGAGUAUAGUUGAGGUAGGCGGAAUGUGUAGUGUAGCGGUGAAAUGCAUAGAUAUUACACAGAACACCGAUUGCGAAGGCAGCUUACUAAACUAUUACUGACGCUCAUGCACGAAAGCGUGGGGAGCGAACAGGAUUAGAUACCCUAGUAGUCC
rnacentral:rRNA from 1 species